CCCUUAGAUGUUCUGGGCCGCACGCGCGCUACACUGAUUCAUGCAACAAGUUUUGUCCUUGGCUGAUAGGCCUGGGUAAUCUUUGAACGUGAAUCGUGAUGGGGAUAGAUGAUUGCAAUUAUUCAUCUUCAACGAGGAAUUCCUAGUAAACGUAAGUCAUCAGCUUGCAUUGAUUACGUCCCUGCCCUUUGUACACACCGCCCGUCGCACCUACCGAUUGAAUGGUCCGGUGAAAUCUUCGGAUCUGAGAGAUGUCUGAUUAAUUUCGGACGCCUUUUGGAAAAGUUGCUUAAACCUUACCAUUUAGAGGAAGGUGAAGUCGUAACA
rnacentral:rRNA from 1 species